AAUCCACUGAGUGUGAUCACUGAUGUCUCC
rnacentral:piRNA from 1 species